UCCGUCUUUGCAUGGAGCGCAGGACCUUGAGAGCCCAGAGCAGCAUCCAGCCAGCCUGUGUGUCUCAUUAAGGACGCCUGGGGAGCUGAACUAGUGGAAGACCUUCUGGGGCCCAGACAGCACCAGGGUCAGGGUAACACGGUACAGGACUAAGAGCAAAUGAGCCCCACACCACGGUGUGUAGCCAUGGGCGAGCUCUCAGCCAGCUGCACCUCCGUUCCCUCAGUGUGUGGAGAACACGGGGGACCUGCCCACGGAGUUGCGCUAAGGAGCAACCAAAUGGACAUUUUUAGGCGCUUGCAAAGGGAUGUGUGAGCCUGCUGGUAAACCUGGCUACACCAAAGUCUGGAGCCACAGGAAUGUGUGGAUAAAGGGAGUCAAGGAGCCUACACCAGAAGAAGACCCUCCCUGAUGCCACCCGAUUCCAGCUGAGAUUGAGAGGGGGAGAGGGAGCUGUAGGUGCCCACGAGAGGGGCCCUGACCUCCCUACCCACACCUGUCUUCCCCAGGAGCAGUCACGUGUUGGGAUGAAGUUGAGAAUGAGGAGGAAAUGAAAACACACAGGAACAAACAUUUAUUGAAACGACGUUUCACACACCUGCUUGAAGCCCCUGGUCAAAGCGCUGGUGUUAGCAUCUGAGGCGUGCCUUGUUGGGAUCUGUGUGGCUUCUCCGGACAUGUCUAUUGUUGUUCUCGGAUCACUCACUUGCUGGAGAGCCCUCGGGGUGUCAUGAGUUUGAGGCAACAAGUCGACCCACACUUCCACCUUCCUUGGCCCAAGGUCCUUAGCCUCGCUGUGGAGAGCUCCACAACUCACCCUCAGGGCAGAGGCCUGCCUGCUGAGCACAGCCACCUCGCUGGCUCACACGCUGGAAGACAUGACACUUGGAGAUUGGGCCUCCUGUACACAGUACUCACUGGGCAAGAUCCCGCCAGUGCGCUGCCUGCGGGGAAGCUGCGAGACCACUGAGGACUUCCCACACUCACUGAUGCUGGGAGCCAGGAAGCCGGCUCCUAACUUAACCUCGAGUCAAGUCCUCUGCCCCGAGAACAAACCACUUGAGAAACUUAAGACUCAUGAAGGGCUCUUCGAAAUAGGACUUGUUGUCCAAGAGGGAAAGAGUUAUUACACGAGGAAAAACAGCCAGGAGUUUGGAAUGGGACUGUACUCAUUUCCCAAAAGAAGUGUUUACACAUCACUUCUUAGGCCUGGAGAGCACUGGCUGCCCUUCCAGAGGAGCUGAGUCCAGUUCCCGGAACCCACGUGGCAGCUCACGGCCAUCUGUACCUCCAGAUCUGACGCCACCUUCCGGCCUCCGUAGGUUUACAUGCAUGCCUUACAACUACAUUUAUGCAGACAAAACACCCAGAUGCAUAAAGUAAAAUGAGAUAGAGACCAAACUUUAAAUCUGGAGUUAUUGCCACGUGUGGUGCCUGAAAAUUGACCAAGUCAGUUUCAAGGUCCCUUUCUCUUGCUGUCCUUGGUUUAGACGCUGAAAGAAACAGGCCUCUGGGUUUGUGGCCUUGUGGCGCCACCUAGAGGCAGAGCAAAUUUCUACACCAUCUGGCAGCUCUCUGAGGUCCAGGGGCCACCUGCAAGCCAUGUAGCAAGCAGAAGAAACAUUUCCUAGUUCAAGAGACUUCUGUAGACUGGGAAGGUGGCUCCCUGCAGCUUUCUGUAGGGCUGGGGAGAUGGCUCUGCGCAGCUGUUGCUCCUGCAGAGGACCCAGGUUCUAUUCUCAGCACCCCAUCUCUAACUGCAGUUCCAGGGGUCUGAUGCUCUCCUCUGGCCCCUGAGACACUGUGUGCAAGUGGAAUGCAUCCUUAUGUGCAGGCAAGACACGCCUGUACGUUCUAAAAGAAGUGAACAGGGACCCACAAAAAGAGACAGAGGAAGGGAGGGGGAACCAUGGAAAAACGAGAACAGAGAGGCCCAGCCUAGGAGUCUGUUCUGGCGGCGGUGGCCCACGCCUUUAAUCCCAGCACUCGGGAGGCAGAGGCAGGCGGAUCUCUGUGAGUUCGAGGCCAGCCUGGUCUACAAGAGCAAAU